ensembl:lncRNA
AAUAAAAGUUUAAUUCACAAAAAUACAUCGACCAGUAUAAUGAAAAUGUACUAAAAUGUACUUUAAUAAUCCAUAAAAGCUGGAACAUCAUUGACAGAAAAACACAAGAAGCAUUAUUAGAGUUGGUUUAGUAUAAUAUAUUUCAGCUUCAAGAGACAUAGAAAUCAAUCCUUUUUCCCCCAUAUUUCUUCUAUAAAAGACCCAUUUUUUCUGAAGCAUUAUUAUGCAAAAAAUGGCAUUAGAAUAUAUUAUGGGAGCUAUGAAAUCCCAGUGACUGAGUAUAAAAUUAAGUCACAUCAGAGAGAGUUAUUUGCAGAAGAGAAGUCCAUGAACAACAGGGCGAACAAAGAAAAAAAUAUAUAAUAAAAAUAAUAAUACAUAUUAUAGACCUUGAUCUAUCAUCACUGACAUGACAGGCAUGGAGAAUAGGUGUAUGGCUAUAAAAAAUUUCUCACUUUUCCACUUGAUUUCACUUGAAAACAUCUACACGUAAUAACUGAUGCAUUUUUUUCAUGCUCGUUUUUGAAGAAUAUUUAUAAUCAUACAACUAAAGAGGUCAACUUCCAUGUCUUUCAAAUACAAUAUUGAAAAAGAUGAAAAAUACUGAAACCAAGUUCUAUCUUUGCUUUUCCUUCUUAAACGCUGUUAUUUUUCUUUUUGUUAAACUGUCAAAAAAAUGAAAAUAAGGGGCUGUUCUCUGGCCACGUAGGCGGCUCAUGGACACUCUUUUUUUUUUCUUUUUUUUUAAACUUUCAGAAGCUUUGCUGCAUUUUAUCAUCAUCAGUUUGUGGUGCUGUUUGUUGGUGCAGAAGUGGAGACUGUCCGUUCAGGGUUCACACUGAAACUGACACAGAGGAAGGUCCUCAGAGGCGAGAGACCAGAGUCUUCUCUUUCUUUCUUACUGUCUUUCGUUCUCUCUCUUUCAUUCUCUUGUGCGGAUCAUCCUCGUCUUUGAUAGGAGCAGUUCAGUCAGCUGAUUCACCGUUUAUGGCUGAUGGAGGGAGGGGGCGGGGCUGUUGGAAUGCUGGCACGUUCCAAUCAGGGCAACAGUUCUUCAUUACAGCAUUUCUGCAAGACAGCACACUGGUUAAGCCCUCGUUUUGAAGCAUCAGUGCG